UACGUAGGGUGCAAGCGUUGUCCGGAAUUAUUGGGCGUAAAGAGCUCGUAGGCGGUCUGUCGCGUCGGCUGUGAAAACUCGGGGCUCAACUCCGAGCUUGCAGUCGAUACGGGCAGGCUAGAGUUCGGCAGGGGAGGACUGGAAUUCCUGGUGUAGCAGUGAAAUGCGUAGAUAUCAGGAGGAAUACCGAUGGCGAAGGCAGGUCUCUGGGCUGACACUGACGCUCAUGCACGAAAGCGUGGGGAG
rnacentral:rRNA from 1 species